rnacentral:rRNA from 1 species
UAACGAAACUGCGAAGGGCUCAAUAAAUCGGUUAUUAAACAAUCGAUGAAAUUCAUAUGGUUAUCCGUGGUAAUUCUACGGUUAAUACAUGUACUACACUUCGGUGUGAUGCCUAUAUUUUGACUAUGACAAGACAGGUUCGCCUGCUCGUCGUGAGGAAAUUAUCUGUGCUUAUCAUUCAAUUGAAGCUUCGAAAUUAUUUCCGCCCUAUCAGCUUUCGGCGGUAACGUAGUGGUUUACCGUGGCGGUGACGGGUAACGGGGAAUUAGGGUUUGACUCCGGAGAGGGAGCCUGAGAAACGGCUACCACAACCAUGGUUGGCAGCAGGCGCGCGAAUUACCCAAUCCUAUACUAGGGAGGUAGUGACAAGAAAUAACAGCAUAGAUACUACGUAUUUAUGACUGGAAUGAGAGGAAUCUAAAAUAUUCCCCGAGUAUCCAUUGGAGGGCAAGUCUGGUGCCAGCAGCCGCGGUAAUUCCAGCUCCAACAGCGUAUAUUAAAGUUGCUGCAGUUAAAACGCUCGUAG